GACGAACGCUGGCGGCGUGCCUAACACAUGCAAGUCGAGCGGGGAACUUCGGUUCCCAGCGGCGGACGGGUGAGUAACACGUGGGUAACCAGCCUUAGUGAGGGGGAUAGCCUUCCGAAAGGAAGAUUAAUACCGCAUAACAUUAUUUUAUCGCAUGGUAGAAUAAUCAAAGGAGCAAUCCGCACUAAGAUGGACCCGCGGCGCAUUAGCUAGUUGGUGAGGUAACGGCCCACCAAGGCAACGAUGCGUAGCCGGCCUGAGAGGGUGAACGGCCACAUUGGAACUGAGACACGGUCCAGACUCCUACGGGAGGCAGCAGUGGGGAAUAUUGCACAAUGGGCGAAAGCCUGAUCCAGCAAUGCCGCGUGAGUGAUGAAGGCCUUAGGGUUGUAAAGCUCUUUUACCCGGGAUGAUAAUGACAGUACCGGGAGAAUAAGCCCCGGCUAACUCCGUGCCAGCCGCCGCAGUAAGAC
rnacentral:rRNA from 1 species